CCUCGGCGUCCCAGAGGCUUGAGUAUAUCCGCAUUGGCUGGCUCUUUGGGAACGGGACUCCAAUUGAUUCCAUGUUCUUAAAUUCUCUGAUGGGUGUACCAUCCACGGAAAAUCUGAGAUCAACCAGUAGCAAGAGAUAGUAUUAGAGAAGAGGGAGGCCGGACUUACAUAGUAGGUAGUGACAGUGCCCGCAGAGUUCCCAGGAACGAGCUUAAUUUGCAAAUCGAUUUUCCCAAAGAGGUACUCGUUCUUAGACCGGAAGCCCGAACCCGAGGUCUUAUCAAGAGAAAGGGUAAGAAGCUGACCAUUGUUUAGUAUCUUAGCACGACCGUCACCCCAAGUGAUAUCGAAAUCCUGGUUAAAAUUACCAGCAGCAGACGCCACGGCAAUGAAAGAGGUAACGACUAGUAGGAGUACAUUAACAAGAGCAAAAACUGCCAUAUUGAAAUGUAGCUAAUAAAUAUUACUUGGUUUGAAUGAAAUUAAGAUAGAUUUUUGUGAGUUUGUGUUAUGAGUAAUGUGCAUGAAUGGAGAAGUGUAUUUAUACUGGGAAAAGGAUGGUAACGGGGCGGCUGGUGAAGUUGGUAGAGCGAGUGUAUGGGUUGACUGGUUAAGUAAGCUGAGGUUGCGCGGAAUGUUCGAAUUAUGGAAGGGCGAUACAGCUGGAGAUAUUGCAUGCACGGGGUAACCAAAUAGGCAAAUAUUUAUUACUCUUUUUUGAAAAGGAAAUAGUAUUCAAAAUUAGGAUAAUCUACUCUUGAAAGUUUAAAACUGUAUCCUAAUUUAUCUAAAGAAAUAAGGGAAAAAAGUGUACUAUCUACAACUCUACAAGUGGGUCUAUAAUUAGAUAUGAUCAAUUAUAUCCCGACUCGACUCGGCUUGAAAAAGUGCGGGUUUGAGUAGUCUAAAAUAUGCAUUUUAGACCAAAAUCCGAAUCUCGUACGAAAAAGUCCGUUUUGGCCCGUAAAGCCCGCACCAAAUUUAUGGGAUUGGACGUGUUUUUUUGUGUUAAAGUUCGGUCCGGCCUGAAUUUUGAUCACCUAUAGUCUAUAUCUUGUUGGGUUGGAAUGUGGUGACCAGCACCUGCGUUUUAAUUAGAUGAUGCACGGUUAGCUUCUCGGUAGGUAUGGCGUGUAGUAAAAUUAUCUAAAUGCGUUAGCAAAUGUUUGUCAUCAUCCAUAAGCAAAUGUUUGUCAUCAUCCAUAAGCAGCUGAAUUUUCCAUUUCUGCAAAACUGAAUGAUUGGUAAAUUGUCUCUCUCAAUGAAAAUGUGUGUAAUACUUCCCCGGUCGGCGAAAUUUUGAAAAUUUUGAUCGUGAAUUCUCAUUAGCCUAUAAGAAAUAAUAUAGCCAUGUGGGGUCUUGUUAGAUUCGUUUCAUAUAUAUUUUUGAAAUAUCAAUUUUUAUAACUUUUACGCGUGUAGUAAUAGAGUUAUUUACGUUUUAAGUCGUGUCUUAGAGAUCGUAAAAAGUCAAAUAAGUCAAUCUUUUAGAGAUAUAGGGAGUACAAAGUAUUAUUUUCAAAUGCUAAUAGUAGUCCAUAAUGGUCCAUCGCAGAGGGCUAAGCUUUUGUCAUAAAAGGGAGCCAAAUAUUAUACUCCCUCCGUCCCGGAAUACUCGAUCCGGUUUGAUCGGCACAGAGUUUAAGGGAUUUGAAUUGACUUAUUUAAUUUAAUAGGUAGUAGUUGAUAGUGGGGUAUUAUUUUAAUGUAGGUAGUGGGAAGUGGGUUAAGAGGUGGGGUUGGGGGAGAGUAGGGGUUGAAAUUUUAAUUAUUUUUUAUAUGGAAUAGGGGUAGGUGGGUUAAUAGGGGUGGAGUGAGAAAUAAUAUAAUAUUGUUAGAAUAUUUCCAUUUUUAGAAACAGGUCAAGUAUUAAGGGACGUUCCGAUAAGAAAAACAGGUCAAGUAUUACGGGACGGAGGGAGUAGUACCAAAAGAAAGGAAGUUUUUGGAGUCAACAACCUCAAAUUGUGCCAAGGGAGGUCAUCAAAGUUGCCUCCUAUUUGGGCCCACACGGCAAGUGAUCCCUAGGGAAUUAAGGGACGGUGUAUUUUGACUUUUUUCCAAGAAGGUUUCAAACGAACCAUAAUUGUAGUAGUUUUAUUGUUUAUUUUCACUGAUUACAACAAGUUGUAAAUGUACCACAUGAAAAGUUGGGUUGGCAAUUAGGUAUAGAAAACGGAACAAGAAAAGGUAACAUAUAGUUAUGGGAGCGGGGAAGCAGAACCGGCCUCUAUUAUGCAUCUGGUGUAUGUGUUUAUCUAAGAUAAAAUUUGCCUAAUUUUAUAAUUUAUGCUCACUGGAAAAUUAUAAAAUGAGGAAAAAUGAUCAAAACCCAAAAAAUAAAAAAUAAAAAACAUAAAAACAUUACGUGUACCUAACUCUAAAUAUGAUCGACUAUUAUUCAAUUUAUUCUAGGGGAGAAAAAUUAUGGUCCAUAUGGACAAAUAAAAAAAAGAGGAGGUUACGAAGUAUUUACAAUUGUGUUGUAGGUUGAUUGCCUUGUUUUACACAUGGCAAUGGAUUAGUGGGAAUAAUAAUGAGUAGCGAUACUCGUCAAAAACAAAAAAAAAAAAGUAAUGAGUAGCAAUAGAGUGGGAUGAAUCAUGAAGUAGGUGGAUAAUAGUUUUUGGUAAUACACAACUUAUAGUUUUUCUCUUAAGAACAACAUAAGCGUUAAGUCUUAAAUUUUGAAUUUUGCUGACAUAGCAUAUAAUUUGUCUAGUUUUAAGAUAGGCAUGUCAGUUUGUAGUAUUGAAGUGAGAUAGUCUUAAUAAAGUCUUAAAUUGAGUCUUGAAAAACUAAGACUCAACUUAAAAUUCAAAUGUGAGUUAACUAAAUACAAAAUAUUAAGACGUUAUAUUAUUUGAGAUAUUUUAAAUGAGUUUGAGGGGUGAAUACCUAAAUUUGGAUGAGUCUGAAGAAGUUUUAACAAAAUUUAAAUAAUUAAAUAUUAGUGAAAAAUUGAUGACAUUGACGAAAUUUUUAAGAUAAAACCUCCUUGAUGUUGCUCUAAGUCCUAAGAUUCUUAAGUUGAGUUUAAACUCAAUUACAUUUAAGAAAUGUUUAGUUUGAUGCGAAAUGUUGUCAUGGGAAAUUUCUACUUUUGAAAACACUCUAUUUGGAAAUACUUACGUAUUAGCGUAUUAUAAUUUCGGAAAAGGCUGCAUGUACACCUAGUAUAUAAGAUUCUCAUGUACACCGCCAUUAAUUUGUUGACACAUCAUCAAACCCACUAAAAAAUGAGAAUGAAAGACAAUAAAUAUGCCAUUUCAACCAAUAGAAAAACAUGGUGUACAAGAUAUUUUGUACACUUGUACACUAGGUGUACAUGUAGUAGGAUCCUACAAUUUCAAAUGAAUAGCCUUACAAUUCCGUGACCAAUUGUGGCAAACUUGAUACCCUAUUAACUUUGAUAAAAUUUUGUAAGUACAAAUAUUUACUCAGUACUAAUCCGUUAACAGAUGGUAACUUUGAAGUUUUGUGAUUUUAUAAGGUGGUAAUUUUGAAUUAAAAUUUUAUAAGGUGGUACAUUGAAAAGGUGGACUUUAUAAGAUGGUAAAUUUAAAAUUUUUCUAAUAUUUAUAGGAUAUUUUUUUUUCUAAGGAAAUAAUAUUUAUAGGAAUUUCUGUUACAUUUGUCAAACAGUAAGUGUGAAAAAUAGGAUGCAUUUUAGGGGCUAUUUCUGAAAACCAUAAACCUCUUAUUUCGAAUUGAGUUUAGUGACGUUAAUACGUCCGAUCCUUUACUUGGAGAAGAAGUGUUCCUAUUAGACAGCUGGACUCCCUUGAUGAUCCUUCAAAUAUCCUUUCUUUCUUUGGCACACCAACUUUUAUUUCCUUCAAUGGUAUCUCUUAAUUUGGUCCACAAUCUCAUCGUCAUACCAAAUUCCAUUUUUCUCCAACUAAGUUUUGAGUUAAUCACACGUAAAUGCCAAAUAUCGCCUAUGUAAAAUUCAGAGUCAUAUGAACUGUUUGUCUGUCUGGUGCCUAAUUGAAUACCAAUUGAGUCUGCUGCUUAAAAGACCAUUUGGCCAAAUACAACAUAAGCUAAUACCACCAACUUAUGUUGGUGGAGUUGGCGGGGAACUCACCUUGUGACUUGGAGGUCACAAGUUCGAGCCCCAUCAACUGCAAAAUGCUUGGGAGUGGCUCAAGCGAUGACAUGCGGAGCUGAGCUGGUUAACCUGUGUUAGGUGCUGGUUCAGUAGGGUCCUUUCUUCUUACCUAUUUAAAAAAAAAAAAAAAAACAUAAGCUAAUACCCACUAAAGACUCAUAACUCUAUUCAAGCGGCCCAAGGCCCAUUAGUGAUAAAUGCCUUACCAGUAUUCAUUACAAGAUCAUUAUAUAUAUGUCGCCUUAGCGCAUAUAUCAAGACACGUUAAUGGAAAAAGCUUAGAAAUAGUGCAACAAUUUCAUGAACAACCAUGCUUGUUUACUAGGAAUGUAGUGGGCGCUUUCGUGCUAUUUCGACUCAUUAACUAUUUUCACAUAGUCUUUCAUCUUGAUAAAUAACCUUCAGAAUAAAGUGGUUGCUUCAAAAGAUUCAAUACAUAAGGAAGUUCUUCAGGAAUUGUGUUGUGUACAAGGUGGACAAGUCUCAGGUCGAUCAAGCAUACAACCUCGUCGAUAAAGGCUGUAAAUCACAGCGAUAUAAAAGAAAGUAUACAAAAUGUUUGAUUCUACGAUCGUAACUAUGGUGAAAGGAAGUUGUGAUUCGAAUGUUAUGUAUUUGUUAGAUUCAAAUCUUUAUGUAGAUGUCGUAUGACUUUUUAUCAAUGAAUUGAUUUGAUUAUCAAAAAAAUUAUUACGGAGUAUAUUCAACUAACUUUUUUACUUUUAUCUUAAUAUUUGUGCAAAUAGUAACUGCAAAGAUCCUUACAAAACGGAGGAAUUAAGCUUGUGUAACAAUUUAACAAAACACAAUUAUUCCUUUCCAUUCAACACUUCCUUAUUACCACUUGACUCUACAAUGAAAUACUACUCCAUAUCCCAUUUUGUACAAAAACAAAUUGUUACACUACAAAAAACAAGAUUAAUACAGCAAAACAGAACCCAGUUUUUUUUUUUCUAAGACUAAUUAAGCAACACUGCACUCUUUAGGCAAACCCUGAGGAAA